CUACCAGCUUCACGCAAGAACAUGUGCUGGAAGUCCGCGGAUACAUAAUUGCCGUGUUGAUAGAUAUUGCGUGCAUUGUAUACAUAUCCUUCUUUAAAAUUCGUCUACGGGACAGUUUCCGCGUGUCGGAAAGUUCUGCUGCUUUGAUUGCGUGGCGGACGAUGACUCGCCGUACGUGUCUGCUCCAAGCAGCCACAUCGGACGCGCGCCUUGUGUUCGCUCUGAAAAGUGAUUUCUUCCUCCAUUUAUCGAUUACUCGUGUUGUUCGCGUGAUUCAAUGUCGAGUGUAGUUUCGAGGACAAUCCACGACCCCUGCUGUGACAACAAGUGACUGAUGUUAUGCGAGAGCGUGAGCUUUUUGACGGGCGACUGAAGAGUGCUCGGCCAAUGUCAAAACUUCGGAAGCGGUGGCCCGGGCGGCUUGUUGACACAGCGAGGAUGACAAACCAGAGUCCCGAUAGGCAGCAAUGGCAGCUGUUCAUGGUCCUGGCACAGAGGACAGGUUGCAGUGCACAAUUGGAGCAGUCUUCCUGCAAGCCCUGACAAGCCUUAAGCGGUUUUCAAUACAGCAGCGGUGCCACCACGACGGAGCUACAAGAGACCCUAUCAUCAGUGCAAAGUAUAAAAUAACUAGAAAUGCAGUUCUUCCUGAAAAUGCCUUAUUUGAUGUUUCUUUAUUUGUAAUUAUAAAACAUCACUUUCGCAAGGAUUGUACAAAAGGACGAACUAGCUCCAUUUAUUGUCCUAUCGGAACUGAAUUGCUUGACAAUGUAAUGCGUGUUUCCAAAUGCAAGCAUUAUAUACUUGCAGCAUUAUUUAUCGGCCACGAAAGAUUCUGACAUGUAAAAAACAAUGAUCUGUUCGUUGUUGGAAAUGGUCUGAUGGUAUUUCCUUUACAAUGCUGCAAUGUGUGCACACUUUCAUAAUAAUAAUGAAGGGAUUUAUUGCUCUGCUU